UUCUUUAUUUGAAAUUUUUAAAAAUAAUAAGAACUUUUUGUAAUUAUUUUUUAAAAGUGUGGUGAAUUUAUAGAAUUUGUGAGGUGAAAAUACCACCACCCCUGAAAUAAAGGAAAUAAAAUAAGUUGAGGCUUAUAAUAAUUUAGAUGAUAUUUUGAAGAAUGUCAUUUUACUGGAUGGGUAAUUCAAAAUUUAUACUUUCAAUUCAAUAUAUAAACAUUGUUUAAAUUCAAUAUAUAAAUAUUGUUUAAAUUAAAUAGGUCUUCACUUUUAGUGGUUUAUCCAAUAAAUACUCAAUCACAAGAGAAAUUAUUUUUAAACCGCCCAUAUAUCUUUUAUUGAGAGUUCAUUUAGACCAAAUAGAUAUAUCUCAUCAGACAUGUAAGGUGAAGCCAAAAUAAUAGCAAUUUAAAUCCGAAUCUGAAUAUAUAUCUAAACUCAAUCGGAUCAAAAAAUUUGCUCACCCUAUCUACAUUAUUAAAUGUAGACAAUCUUUUCCAUGAUAAAUAAAUUUGUAGUUUGGUGUAUGUAUGUGUGUGUGUUAGUUUGUUGACAUGGAGUUGAUGACACCACCAAAAGUUUUCUUCAAAUGUAAAGUUUUUUUAUUCUUAGAAUUGAGGAAGGAAAAUACACUCUCACAAUAUUUUGUGGGAACUCCAACCCAUGUCCUCACAAUUGUGAGGUUAUGGUUCUAAUGUUGAUCGAUUGGUCUUCAAAUGUAAAGUUUGAAAUGAGGGAAAAAGACUAACGCACCCCCAAUGUUUAAUGAAAGGGACAUAAACCCCCCAAUGUUUGAAAAAAGACAUUCACACCCUCAUUUAUUAAUAGAAACUGUUUCUUUUAAAAGAAAUUAUAAUUUUUACAUCUAAUUAUCAUUAUACCCUCAAAAUGUCAUAUAAAAAUAAUUUUUGAUUAUCCAAUUUGCCCAUGUCGUAUAAAAAUAACCUUCCGAGGCAUUACAACAUUCAACCAAAUUCUUAAAUCUUCCUAAUCAUUUUUUUUUAAUAAUCUUACAAACUAAAAACAAAAAACAAAAGCAAAAACAAAUAUGACUGUCAUCAUCGUCGUAUAAAACCUUGGAUACAAAGAUGAUUUCUGAUAAUCACAGAAGAUUAUCGAAUUGACGAGUAGUAGCUUACACCGAGUAGAAGCACCAACAGCGGUGGCUUGGAUUUGAGGAUACACUAGUGGCGGUUUCGAUCGCAAGCAGUACCAGCAGAUUCAGACAAGGCGAUCAGUGGAAGCAACCUGGAGGCGGAUUAGCGGUACCAGCAGCGGGGAAACAAUGUGUGUGUGUGUGUGUGUGUUAAGGGUGCGAAGAUCGGGAAACAAUGUGUGUGUUAAGGGUUCGUGUGUUAAGUGAUUGCACAUUUUGUUUGUGUAUGUUAAGUGUGCGUGUGUAUCUGUGUGUGUUUUGUUCGUGUGUGUUAAGUGUGUGCAUGUUUUGUUUGUGUGUGUUAAGAAGUGGAGGGAAUUGCGUGGGAUAUACCCUGUUUCCCUCAUAAUACCCAAAAUAUACCUCCAUCUAUUAAAAUCUAUAAUUUUACACAUAUAUACUUUAAAAAAUCAGGGAAAGUACAAAAAUAGCCUCAAUAAAAUACCAACAAAAAAUUAAUACUUGACUCAUUCAAUCUACUUACUCGACUUCUUACUCGACUAGAUACUCGAUUUAUGCAAUUGCCUUCACUUCUUGCUCAACUUACCAGACUUCAUACCCGACUUCAUACUCGAGUAGAUACUCGACUUAUUCAAUUAUCUUCAUUUCUUACUCGACUAAAUGCUCAACUUACCAGACUUCAUAUCUGAUUUCGUACUCGACUAGAUACUCAACUUAUUCAAUUGCCUUAACUUCUUACUCGACUGAAUGUUCAACUUAUCAUGCUUCAUACACGACUUCGUACUUGACUAGAUACUCGACUUAUUCAAUUGCCUUCAUUUCUUACUCGACUGAAUGCUCAACUUACCAGACUUCGUACUCGACUAGAUACUUGACUUAUUCAAUUGUCUUCACUUCUUGCUCGACUUAUUCAAUUGCCUUCACUUCUUACUCUACUGAAUACUCAACUUACUAGACUUCACUUCUUUAAAAAUAUUAAUACUCGACUCAAUGUACUUACUCGACUUAACACUCGACCUCUUUAAAAAUUACAUAAAUUUUACUUGACUUGUUCAAAAUAUUUACUUGACUUCUACUUAAUACUCGACUCAUUUAAUAUGCUUACUCGACUUCCUACUAGACCAUAUACUCAACUUACUUAUCUUCAAUUCUUACUCAACUAAAUUCUUGACUUACCCGACCUCGUACUAGACUUCUUCCUGCACUGAGAGGAAGAAAGGUGUGGAUUCUUGAUUUUUUUAAGGUUAUUUUUUACUUUUCCUAUCUUCGUGAGGUAUAUGUAUGUAAUAGGGUAUAAAUUUGGUAUUUAAGGGCAAAUUGGGGAUAUUUAAAUAAAAAAAACCCGAAAGAGUGUGUGCGUCAAGACACUUUGAAUUAGUGUUUGUUUGAGGGGGUUUUGUGGUAAAUUUAUUCGUUAUUAGUAUGUAAUUACAAUAUUAGCCUUUUAAUGAUUUAAGGAAACAAUUUCUGUUAAUAAAUGGGGAUGUGAAUUUUUUUUUCAAAAUGUUAGAAGGUUUUAUGUCCUUUUUAUUAAACGUUAGGGGUGCAUCAGUUUAUUUCCCUUAAAAUGAUUAAUAGUCUAUUUCUUGAAAGUGAACAAAAUCCUUCUAGGAAACAUUCAAUAAUUUAUCUAAUCAUUUACACUGAUGAAGGAAUCAAUUUACAGAAAAAUAUUAAAGAAACCGCAUGUCAAAGAGAUUAUUGUAACUUCCUCCUUUAACAUCGUUUCUUUUAUGAUCUAACCUAAAAAGAAUUCCAUUCUACUACUCUACACGGCACUGAAUUUCUUGCUAAAGCUUUAAUCAUGUUGGGUAUAUCAUCAACAAUUAAUUUUUUAAUUAAGGAAGCAACAAAUUUUUUAAGGAUAAUGAUUUUUACAAGUCAGAGCAUAAACUUAGGGUUUGUUAUACAAAUGCUAAAUUUACAUUAUUAGAAGUCGUAAAUAUAACAUUUUAUGUUUACAGUACUCUUAUUGUGUUUAUUAAUGUCAUCAGAUUCAUCAUGACUAGAGAUGGCCAAUGGACCGAGCGGCACGAGGCGAGGCACGGCACGACACGGGCACGGCAUGUGUUCGUGCAGCAUGGCACGAAAAGAGCACGUUUCGGUAGGGCACAAGGCACGGCACGGCACGCACGUGAGCCAUGUUAGGGCUAGAAUUUUAAGCACGCAGGCCUUAAAAGCACGGCACGAUUAGAGAUGGGUCAAAACAUGACACGCGAAAAGACACAUAAUAAGCACGCUUCAUUGUUGGGCUAAGCACGCUGCCCGUGGGCCCAAGUAUAUCAACAUAAUUUUUUUAAUGAAAAAUAAAUAUAAAAUAUCA
rnacentral:lncRNA from 1 species